rnacentral:tRNA from 1 species
GGUGUGUUGGCUCAGUCAGUAGAGCGUCUGUCUCACAGCCAGGAGGUCGUGGGUUCAAACCCCGGCCGUGUCA